CUGAUAAAUACUCCCUAUUUUUAUGUUUGCGGGGAUAAUUCUAAGUUGUGUUCUACAUAGUAAUUCUCCAUAGCUACUGGAGAGUCCCUAGUGGAAUAGAGCUGCAGUUUUUCACUGCACUAACCAGAUCCACAUUCACCCCUAGAUUGUCUUUCUCUCUUCGUUUUUACACUUUCCAGUCACUCACUCUUAAUCUUUGGGAAAUAAACUCUUGUACCUAAGUGCCUGUCGCAGGUUUUGCUUUUUAGAUGGGCACAAAGCUAAGACUUCCUCUAAUCCUGAUUUUCUUAACCAGCCCACUUGAUUCACACAGUUUACCUUCUUGGCUCUGCAGGCAUUUGCAGUUGUGACCCUGUCCUAGAGAUCAUGGUUAGGGACUCACUCCAGGUAUUCUCUGCCAUGACCACCUGAGCAAGUCCUCCGAUGCUCCAGGCAAUAUUAAAGCCCUUUGCUAGUGCUGUUUCCUUGCUUUAAACCCCACUCCUGAGCCCUACACCAAUUCCCUGUUAACUUCCUUUCAUCAGCAAAUUCCUCCUCAGCCUUCAAGGCCAGGUUCAGUUUAGAUUCCUCUAUGGACCUUUCUGUAACUCUUCCACAAUUGAGCAUCUUUAAAGACUAAGGAGAAAGAGCCAGAAGAGGCAGAGAGUGCGGAGAGGAAGAAGACACUGAUGGAGUCCACUCUUUGGAGAUGAUGGGAAUAGCUUUUAUUGGUACAGAUGCAGGUGUCUACCUCCAAAAGAAGAAAGGUUCUUCCUUCUUCUCUGAGAAGAAGAUCUUGUCCACAGAGCCUGUGAUACUGGGGACUUAUAAAGUAUACUGACAAGGUGGUCUUUGAUCAAAGCCGAUGACUUGACGCCAAAACAUCUGCCCACAUGUGCUGAAGAUCUGUGCAGAGAAUGAAAACCUUGAUUACCUUGCGAACUUCACUUCUGCAACAGGAAGUUAAAAACUUGAAAUUUAUAUUGAAAUGGAUUUAUAUGUCUUCUUUCUGUCAAAUACACCUUCACAUCUGAAUGUGAGAGUCUGAUGUGAACAUUCAUCAAAGAAUAAAUUUACUUCCAAUGUGCUUUUGAAUCCUC
rnacentral:lncRNA from 1 species